ensembl:snoRNA
AUACAUAACAUAAUAAACCCAAAUUAACAUUGGGGGUAGAAAUGCAUCUGUAACAUGCUACAUGAAUAAAGGAAUUCUCAGGGCUGCCAACCUUUCAGUAGAGGUUGAAUGGUAGUAUAUUUCUCCUACUANN